UAUUCACCUUGGGACUUCUACAUUUCAUUCUCUGACAACCUCUCUGGAGUUCUCUGGCCACCCACACCCCUACUGAAAGUCCACUUCUCCUAAUACUCUGCAUAAUCUGCAGAUAAUCCUCUGCAAAUAAUCCUCUGCAUCAAUCUGCAUUGCUGUUUUGGUCAUGUUGUUUUCUCCUGCCUGACAAACACCUAUCUUUUUAAGACUCACUUCCUCCACUGUGAAAAGAAGAAAAGCAGUGCUGACAUCCAGGAGCUAGCCCGGUACCAUUGAUGAGGACUUAUUUUAGGCUGGUUACUUUUAAAAACUGCAGAUGAGGUAGGCUCUGAGGAGUGGAAUUUGCUUGCCCUUUGAUGAGAGACAUUUGUAUUUGUGAAGGAAGUCUCCAUCUGUGGGGAGUGUCUCCCUCUCUGCACCAGGAGGAAGGGAGAUGACCUUAUCUCUGGAAACUUUUAAUGGGGAGGCAAGGACUUAAGUCUUGUUUAUUGCACUUGUCUGGUAACCUCAUGGUUACCCACCACCACCAACAUCCUCCUUUGUCUUUAGCUGAAGAUAAUAUUUAAGGUGGUGGCUUCUGCCAUUUACUUAAUCCUGUUUGAUUCUUAUCUAAAAGUUAUAAGACCACCCAAUAACCAGACCCCACCAGCACUGAUACCAUUUUAACAACUUUUUUUUACAUAUUAUUUCCUUUCUCUUGUAAAGAGAUAACUCACAUACCUAUGCAUUAAAUUUAGCCCUACUCUCAACCCAUGUGUGCAGCAGCAGCAGCAGCUCUGACUGCCCAUGGGUCCUGUCCCCAUGCAGCAGCUCUUGACUGCCCAUGGGUCCUGUCCCCAUGUUAUUCCACACUAUUAUCUAAAUAAAAGAGCACUACUGCCAGACCUUGAGAGUCCAAGAAAUCUUUCUUUCGACUUUUCGGCUUGCUGACCCCGCUUCACCAUGAGCCAGGCUUUCCUGUUGUUAGAAGCUGGCCUCGUGCUCACGCAAACCAUGCUGUUUACCUGUUGGACAUAAACUUCUCACAAACACCAGCACAAGGUCACGCUGCAGCAGUGAUGAUGUGAGACAAAACAAGACCACUUCAUCAUUUUGCCUAAACAGACAAAUAGAAGGCCGUCAUGCCAUCCAGAAAAUACCAAACAUCCCUCUCUCCUGGCUGAAGCGAGCAACUGUGGCUUCUUUAUGAAUUAUAGCAUUUGUCUCACUCUAGUCACAAUUCCUUCUAGAAUUGAUUGAUUGAGCUACACAAUCACAGAAUCGUCCCUGCCUCCUGUCAGCACCCAGUCCAGAGCAAACCCCUGCUUCCUUGAACCCUCCCCAAACUAUCCAACCAAGGCCCAAAUCCUGUAAGUUCUUUCUAACGCCCUCAUCCUGAUAGGCCCCAGAGUUCCCUAUGAUGUGAGGCCUCCCUCAUUACAAAGAGUAAUUAAACACAACUGGUUUACCUGCUGAUGUGUUUCUGGUGGUCUUUGCUGGAGGACAUUGCAACUCUAACAGUAGGAUAGGUCGGUUAAGUUUCUUGGAGGAAGUGAAUGGAGUUCCAAUCUGAAGGCUUCUAUUUUCUAUGUUAAGCAUGCUCAAAACAUCACCCAUAUUAUCUUGAGAAUGAAUGGUUCGGGGGAGUAAAUCCGAAGUUUGUGGAAAACGUCUGAAUUAUAUAUUCUGGAGCAUGGGAGAGUGACUUGACAAGAGAAUCCUACUAGAAUGGUCAGGCUCUGUGAGGGCACAGGUGAGGUGGGGUGACAUGAAUUCGAAAUAGUACCCAGCUGCCCUGCUCUGUGAGUCCUAUCUCCAGUACUCAAGACAAAAAUGGGUAGUUUGGUUUUGGGUUUACUGGGACUGAAGGGCAAGGGAGAGGAGGCACUGCCAAGAGAAUUCCGGAACGAUACAUUAUGAACCCCAAGCUCAACUGAGAGGUAAGAGCCUAGAGGAAGCGUCUAAAGGAUAGAAAAUACCAUGGAGGUCCUAUGGAAAAAGAUGCUGAGGACCUCAGAACAGAAAUCCAGGCUAUCAUGGUGGGAAUGGCGACAGGUGGAUGAGAAGAGAGGGUGCUCCAGCUGAGGACCAUGGAGCUCAAAGAAAUGGGGCAGGGGACAAAGAGCAGAGAAGACACAAAUCUCCAACCUGCUAAUCCUGAGAUCUGCAGUGUAUGAGAAAACAGAAGCACCACUUGACAGGGCCUCAAGAAAAGGAUAUUCCUAGGGAAGGGCCAGGGUCAAGGCAAAGAGAGGGAGGGAAGGACUAAGGAGAGGCUGAGGAAAUAGAGGUGGCUGGUGAUUAUGGAGCGGUAAUUUCAGAGGACACUGGGAGGGUUUGGGGGGAUCAUGGGUAAACAAAAGAGUAGAGAACUGACUAGGGGCACAGCAUGACAGGGAAGAUAAGGAGAGAGAAUGGGGAGUGGGGAGAGUUAGCUAUCAUGGUAAGUGCUUGACAGAUAUCUGCUGAAACAAAUGGAAUUAUUAGGUAUAAACCUAGUAUAUCCAAUCUGACGAGUCCUAACUAUCAGAUUGUAGGAGUGAUAGCACGAGGCCAUCAUGACGACAAUGAUGGUGAUGGUCUGAUGACGAUGGGGGUGGAGGGUUCGUCAUGACAAUAACUACCAAACUUGAACACCUACUGUGUGCCGAGCACUCCACAUUUAAUCCUCACAACAACCCAUGAGACAGAUGACCUCAUUAGGAUCCCCAGACGGGCUCUGUUCCAAAGGAGGGAGCAAGCAAAAACAGAAGUAACGGAAGUGUAGGAGCCUCGAGAGACUGACAGGCUUUUUUAAAGUUACUUUAGGGAUUUUUAUGGCUUAACUCACAGCGGCAGACACCAGCCUGACCCACAGCUACAACAUCUUCAGUAACUUCAACCAAAUAAUAUUCAGACUGGAGGAAAAUCAAAACUAAUAUAAUAAUAACUUAUGGAAGCCUUGACUUUGUGUCAAAUCCUGCGCUACCUGCUUUGCAUCGAUUAUCUCACUUAACCCUCACAUCCAAAAGGUAGGUUACCACUAUCAUCCCCACUUUAAAGGUGAGGAGACUGAGGCAGAAAGUGGGUAAUUUGCCCAUGAUUCACACAAGGAAUCCUUAUUUAAUAACAUGACUUUUUCACAAGAUUUAAAGUUUUAAUACAUUGCAGUAAAAAUGCAGAUCACAGUAUCACAGAACCUGAAAGACACUGAGUCUUGCAAAAGAUCUUAAAACAUUAUAUUAUAGAUUCUCACAAUUUCUUUGCAUGUUUUUUCAGAUGAGGGAAAACCCCAUGCAAAAAACCUUUGAUGAAAUGCCUCCGGAUGACGAACGUGUGUGGUCUUUUCAGUUAGGACCUAUCCCAGAAGAUUCUGAGUCAGUGGGUCCAGCGCAGGCCCUGAGCAUCUGUGCUCUUUUAAAAAGCCCCACAGACAACAGUGAUGUGCAGUGUGAGUUGGGAACUACUGCCUUAGAUUCCCCGCAGUUCCAAACCCAAACUUCCCUUACAUGUUUAGACAUCUGCAGACACAGAGGGCAUUGGAAACUGAGGCAGAGAAGAGCUGAAAUUAUAAAAACCAUCCAACAGAGAGUCAAGGAAAAACAUACUCUAGUUAAACUAUUUCUCUGUACAUUUCUUUGUGUCUGAACUAUUUUAUAGCUAGUUUACUUUAAAUAAGUUUGCAAAAAAUGUUACCAACAGAUAUUAAAUAAACCAAUAAAACCAAUCAAUAUCAAAUAAGCCUAACCCUAAUGUGCUACUGAAAACUAUUUUAUUUCCCUUUGAUAAUUCUGACGGCACUUCAGAUUUUCUUUGCAAAUAGCAGUAGAUACGAGAGAUAUUAUUUCCAAUUCAACAGUGCUACAGAUGUGAUCAGUAGCAACUGCAAGCUGGAGAAGAAAUAAAGUUGGGUAUAAUCCAUUUAAGUCCACACAUUUCACCACUAACAGUCUCCAAGCCUUUAACACCUAUGUAUGUAUUUAUCCAUUCAUUUAAUCAACCACUACUAACAACUACUAAAUGCCAGACACUGCUCUAAGUACUUUAUUGAUAACGAAAUAUCAUUCAACCUUUACACUCACCUAUGAAGUACCGAUUAUGAUCACCCCAUUUUACAGAUCAGGGAACCGAGACACAGAAUGGUUUAGUAACUCGCCCAAGUUCACACAGCUCCUAAGUGGCAGAGCUAGGGUCUGUCUGACACAGUCUGGCUCCAGAGUCAUGUUCUGAAGCACUUUGCUUAGUCUCCAAGAACGUACAAAAAGUGCCAGCCUUUUGUUUUCCCCACCCUAUAGUCCCUAUGCGGACCCAGCUUCCAGGGCAUUCUUUCAGUUCCUCUCCUUCCUUGCUCUCUCUGAAUGCUCUCCUGCACUAUUUAUUUAUUUUAGUUCUAAGCUUAAACAUCAUCGUCUAAAAUACGAACUCUAAUGGUAAAUGCUGUAUUUCCCAGCACUCAACACAAAAUUGUAAUUAUCUACUUCAUGUACUUAUUUGCUCCCUGUCUGUCCUUUCCAACCAGGCUGUGAGGUCCACUACGUCAUACACCACGUCAGUCUUGCUCAUCAUGUGUCCUGAUCACUGAAUACCCACCAACCAACCAGUAGAAAGGAAGGGCCUUGCACAGAGUGAACUCUCAAUAAUUUCUGUGGAAGGAAGGAAUGGAGGGAGUACCCUUGAGCCGCAUGCUUUCUUUUUCAUGCUUUCAAGUGCAGGAUACAUACCUGUGCUCCCAAUGCUCCCCACACAGCCCCCUAACAGGUAGGCUCUUGUGCACACACUCAAGGGCUCUGGAAAGCUUUGUGCUCUGCACACAAAUAUUAUGUGGUCUAGACAGGCCACUUUCCCCUGAACUGGCCUGAGCUUCAGGUGCACAAUGGGGAUGAUGACAACCCCAGUGGAAUGUAUCCUCUAAAAGAGGGAGACCUGCACUCCUCAGAACCCAUCGAAACCAACGUUAUUAUUAUCUACUUCACCUCUGUCUUUCCAGCAAGACUUGGUUCCAAGAAGCCAAGACCACGUGUGCCACUUCAGCGCCCGACUCCCGGGCACCGCAUCCCCAGGCUGGCCCGGUGCCCGGCACACGCCGCACGUUCCAUGAACGUG
ensembl:lncRNA